ensembl:lncRNA
AUGGUGGAUGUUUCAGCAGGACUCAUGAUUGUGGAAGUCUCUUUUGUAGUAGAUGUUUCUGCUUCACUAGUGGUGGAUAUUUCAGGUGUAGUUGUGAUUGUUAAAGUCUCUAAUGUUGUAGAUGUUUCUGCUACAAUGAUAGUAGAGGUUUCAGCUGGAAUUGUUGUGAUUGUGGAAGUCUCUGUUGUUGUAGAUGUUUCUACUUCACUAGUGGUGGAUGUUUCAGGAGGUGUCGUUAUUGUGGAAGUUUCUUCUGAAGUAGAUGUUUCUGCUUCAGUAGUGGUUGAUGUUUCAGCAGGCGUAGUGAUUGUGGAAGUCUCUGUUGUUUUAGAUGUUUCUGCUACACUAAUGGUGGAUGUUUCAGCAGGACUCAUGAUUGUGGAAGUCUCUUUUGUAGUAGAUGUUUCUGCUUCACUAGUGGUGGAUAUUUCAGGUGUAGUUGUGAUUGUUAAAGUCUCUAAUGUGGUAGAUGUUUCUGCUAAAAUGAUAGUGGAUGUUUCAGCUGGAAUUGUUGUGAUUGUGGAACUCUCUGUUGUUGUAGAUGUUUCUGCUACACUGAUAAUAGAGGUUUCAGCAGGAAUUGUUGUGAUUGUGGAAGUAUCUGUUCUGGCAGAUGUUUCUACUUCACUAAUUGUGGAUGUUUCAAUGGCAGUUGUUGUGAGUGUGGAAGUCUCUGUUGUUGUAGAUGUUUCUGCUACACUGAUAGUAGAGGCUUCAGCAGGAAUUGUUGAGAUUGUGGAAGUAACUAUUGGUGUAGAUGUUCCUGCAGCACUAGUGGUGGAUAUUUCAGCAGGAAUUGUUGUGAUUUUGGAAGUCUCUGUUGUUGACGACGUAUCUGUAGCACUAGUGGUAAAUGUUUCAGCAGGAAUUGUUGUGAUUGUGGAAGUAUCUGUUCUUGUAGAUGUUUCUACUGGCCUAAUUGUGGAUGUUUUAACCACAGUUGUUGUGAGUGUGGAAGUCUCUGUUGUUGAAGAUAUUUCUGCUUCACUAGUGGUGGAUAUUUCAGCAGGUGUCGUUUUUGUGGAAGUCUCUUUUGUAGUAGAUGUUUCUGCUACACUGAUACUAGAGGUUUCCACAGCAAUUGUUGUAAUUGUGGAAGUCUCUGUUGUUGUAGAUGUUUCUGCUGCACUAGUGGUGGAUGUUUUAGCAGGAGUGGCUGUGAGUGUGGAUGUCUCUGUUGUUGUAGAUGUUUCUGCUAAACUAAAAGUGGAUGUUUCAACUGGAUUUGUUAUGAUUGUGGAAAUCUCUGUUGUUGUAGAUGUUUCUACUUCAAUAGUGUUGGAAGUUUCAGGAGGUGUCGGUAUUGUGGAAGUCUCUGUGCUUGUAGAUGUUUCUGAUGCAUUAGUGGUGGAUGAUUCGGCAGGAUUUGUUGUGAUUGUGGAAGUCUCUUUUGACGUAGAUGUUUCUGCUUCAGUAGUGGUUGAUGUUUCGGCAGGAGUAGUGAUUGUGGAAGUCUCUGUUGCUGUAGAUGUUUCUGCUGCACUAGUGGUGGAUGUUUCAGCAGGUGUCAUUUUUGUGGAAGUCUCUGUUGCUGAAGAUGUUUCUGCUGUACUAGUAGUGGAUGUUUCUGCUGGAAUUAUUGUGAUUGUUGAAGUCUCUGUUGUAGAUUUUUCUGCUGCACUGACAGUGGAUGUUCCAGCUGGAAUUGUUGUGAUUGUGGAACUCUCUGUUGUUGUAGUUGUUUCUGAUACACUGAUAGUAGAGGUUUCAGCAGGAAUUGUUGUGAUUGUGGAAGUGUCUGUUGUUGAAGACGUUUCUGCGUCACUAGUGGUGGAUGUUUCAGCAGGAAUUGUUGUAAUUGUGGAAGUAUCUCUUCUUGUAGAUGUUUCUGCUGCACUAAUUGUGGAUGUUUCAACCGCAGUUGUUGUCAAUGUGGAAGUCUCUGUUGUUGAAGAUAUUUCUGCUACACUAAUGGUGGAUGUUUCAGCAGGACUCGUGAUUGUGGAAGUCUCUUUUGUAGUAGGUUUUCCUGCUUCACUAGUGGAGGAUAUUUCAGGUGUAGUUGUGAUUGUUGAAGGCUCUGUUGUUGUAGAUGUUACUGCUAAACUGAUAUUGGAUGUUUCAGCUGAAAUUGUUGUGACUGUGGAAGUCUCUAUUGUAGUAUAUGUUUCUGCUACAAUGAUAGUAGAGGUCUCAGCUGGAAUUGUUGUGAUUGUGGAAGUCUCUGUUGUUAAAGUCAUUUCUUGUACAUUAGUGGUCGAUGUUCCAGCAGGAAUUGUUGUGAUUGUGGAAGUCUCCGUUGUUGUAGACAUUUCUACUUUACUAGUGGUGGAUGUUUCAGCAGGUGUCGUUAUUGUGGAAGUCUCUGUGCUUGUAGAUGUUUCUGCUGCACUAGUUGUGCAUGUUUCUGCAGGAGUCGUUAUUGUGGAAGUCUCUGCUGUUGUAGAUGUUUCUACUUUACUAGUGGUGGAUGUUUCAGCAGGUGUCGUUAUUCUGGAAGUCUGUGUGCUUGUAGAUGUUUCUGCUGCACUAGUUGUGGAUGUUUCAGCAGGAGUCGUUAUUGUGGAAGUCUCUUUUGAAGUAGAUAUUUCUGCUUCAGUAGUGGUUGAUGUUACAGCAGGAGUAGUGAUUGUGGAAGUCUCUGUUGUUGAAGAUGUUUCUGCUGCACUAGUAGUGAAUGUUUCAGCUGGAAUUAUUGUGAUCGUUGAAGUCUCUUUUGUUGUAGAUAUUUCUGCUGCACUGAUGGUGGAUGUUUCAGCUGGAAGUGUUGUGAUUGCGGAACUCUCUGUUGUUGUAGAUGUUUCUGCUGCACUAGUGGUGGAAGUCUCAGCAGGAUUUGUUGUAAUUGUGGAAGUAUCAGUUCUUGUAGAUGUUUCUGCUGCACUAGUUGUGGAUGUUUCAGCAGGAGUCGUUAUUGUGGUAGUCUCUUUUGAAGUAGAUAUUUCUGCUUCAGUAGUGGUUGAUGUUACAGCAGGAGUAGUGAUUGUGGAAGUCUCUGUUGUUGAAGAUGUUUCUGCUGCACUAGUGGUGGAAGUCUCAGCAGGAUUUGUUGUAAUUGUGGAAGUAUCAGUUCUUGUAGAUGUUUCUGCUGCACUAAUUGUGGAUGUUUCAACCGCAGUUGUUGUGAAUGUGGAAGUCUCUGUUGUUGAAGAUAUUUCUGCUACACUUUCUUUGGAUGUUUCAGAAGGAAUCGUGAUUGUGGAAGUUUCUUUUGUAGUAAAUGUUUCUGCUUCACUAGUGGAGGAUAUUUCAGGUGUAGUUGUGAUUGCUGAAGUCUCUGUUGCUGUAUAUGUUUCUGCUACAAUGAUAGUAGAGGUUUCAGCAGGAAUUCUUGUGAUUGUGGAAGUCUCUGUUGUUGAAGUCAUUUCUGGUACAUCAGUGGUCGAUGUUUCAGCAGGAAUUGUUGUGAUUGUGGAAGUCUCUGUUGUUGAAGUCAUUUCUGGUACAUCAGUGGUCGAUGUUUCAGCAGGAAUUGUUGUGAUUGUGGAAGUCUCUGUUGUUGUAGAUGUUUCUCCUGCACUCGUAGUGGAUGUUUCAGCUGGAAUUAUUGUGAUCGUUGAAGUCUCUGUUGUUGUAGAUAUUUCUGCUGCACUGGUGGUGGAUGUUUCAGCAGGAAUUGUUGUGAUUGUGGAAGUCACUGUUGUUGUAGAUGUUUCUACUUUACUAGUGGUGGAUGUUUCAGCAGGUGUCAUUAUUGUGGAAGUCUCUGUGCUUGUAGAUGUUUCUGCUGCACUAGUUUUGGAUGUUUCAGCAGGAGUUGUUAUUGUGGAAGUCUUUGUUGUUGUAGAUGUUUCUGCUGCAUUAGUGGUGGAUGAUUCAGCAGGAUUUGUUGUGAUUGUGGAAGUCUCUUUUGAUGUAGAUGUUUCUGCUUCAGUUGUGGUUGAUGUUUCAGCAGGAGUAGUGAUUGUGGAAGUCUCUGUUGUUGUAGAUGUGUCUAGUUUACUAGUGGUGAAUGUUUCAGCAGGUGUCAUUAUUGUGGAAGUCUCUGUGCUUGUAGAUGUUUCUGCUGCAUUAGUGGUGGAUGUUUCAGCUGGAAUUAUUGUGAUCGUUGAAGUGUCUUUUGUUGUAGGUAAUUCUGCUGCAUUGAUGGUGGAUGUUUCAGCUGGAAUUGUUGUGAUUGUGUAAGUCUCUGUUGUUGUAGAUGAUUCUACUUUACUAGUGGUGGAUUUUUCAGCAGUUGUCGUUAUUGUGGAAGUCUCUGUGCUUGUAGAUGUUUCUGCUGCACUAGUUGUGGAUGUUUCAGCAGGAGUCGUUAUUGUUGAAGUCUCUGUUGUUGUGGAUGUUUCUGCUGCAUUAGUGGUCGAUGAUUCAGUAGGAUCUGUUGGGACUGUGGAAGUUUCUUUUGAAGUAGAUGUUUCUGCUUCAGUAGUGGUUGAUGUUUCAGCAGGAGUAGUGAUUGUGGAAGUCUCUGUUGUUGUAGAUGUUUCUGCUGCACUAGUGGUGGAUGUUUCAGCAGGUGUAAUUUUUGUGGAAGUCUCUGUUGUUGAAGAUGUUUCUGCUGCACUAGUAGUGGAUGUUUCAGCUGGAAUUAUUGUGAUUGUUGAAGUCUCUGUUGUUAUAGAUAUUUCUGGUGCACUGAUAGUAGAUGUUUCAGCUGGAAUUGUUGUGAUUGUGGAACUCUCUGUUGUUGUAGAUGUUUCUGCUACACUGAUAGUAGCGGUUUCAGCAGGAAUUAUUGUGAGUGUGGAAGUCUCUGUUGUUGAAGAUAUUUCUGCUACACUAAUGUUGGAUGUUUCAGCAGGACUCGUGAUUGUGGAAGUCUCUUUUGUAAUAGAUGUUUCUGCUUCACUAGUGGUGAAUAUUUCAGGUGUAGUUGUGAUUGUUAAAGUCUCUGUUGUUGUAGAUGAUUCUGCUAAACUGAUAGUGGAUGUUUC